UACGUAGGGAGCGAGCGUUGUCCGGAUUCAUUGGGCGUAAAGAGCUCGUAGGCGGCUUGGUAAGUCGGAUGUGAAACCUCCAGGCUCAACCUGGAGUCGCCAUCCGAUACUGCCAUGGCUAGAGUCCGGUAGGGGCCCACGGAAUUCCUGGUGUAGCGGUGAAAUGCGCAGAUAUCAGGAGGAACACCGGUGGCGAAGGCGGUGGGCUGGGCCGGCACUGACGCUGAGGAGCGAAAGCCAGGGGAGCGAACGGG
rnacentral:rRNA from 1 species